rnacentral:rRNA from 1 species
UACGUAGGGAGCAAGCGUUGUCCGGAAUCAUUGGGCGUAAAGCGCGCGUAGGCGGCCCGGUAAGUCGGAUGUGAAAUCUCACGGCUCAACCGUGGAACUGCAUUCGAAACUGUCGGGCUAGAGGCAGGUAGGGGAGAUCGGAAUUCCCGGUGUAGCGGUGAAAUGCGCAGAUAUCGGGAGGAACACCGGUGGCGAAGGCGGAUCUCUGGGCCUGUCCUGACGCUCAGGCGCGAAAGCUAGGGGAGCGAACAGG